UACGAAGGGGGCUAGCGUUGCUCGGAAUCACUGGGCGUAAAGGGCGCGUAGGCGGAUCUUUAAGUCGGGGGUGAAAGCCCAGGGCUCAACCCUGGAAUGGCCUUCGAUACUGGAGACCUUGAGACCGGAAGAGGUAAGUGGAACUGCGAGUGUAGAGGUGAAAUUCGUAGAUAUUCGCAAGAACACCAGUGGCGAAGGCGGCUUACUGGUCCGGUUCUGACGCUGAGGCGCGAAAGCGUGGGGAGCAAACAGG
rnacentral:rRNA from 1 species